rnacentral:rRNA from 1 species
GACGAACGCUGGCGGCGUGCUUAACACAUGCAAGUCGAACGCUGAAGCCUGGCUUUUGUUGGGUGGAUGAGUGGCGAACGGGUGAGUAACACGUGAGUAACCUGCCCUCUUCUUUGGGAUAACGCCCGGAAACGGGUGCUAAUACUGGAUAUUCACUUGCCUUCGCAUGGGGGUGGGUGGAAAGGGUUUUUUCUGGUGGGGGAUGGGCUCGCGGCCUAUCAGCUUGUUGGUGGGGUGAUGGCUUACCAAGGCUUUGACGGGUAGCCGGCCUGAGAGGGUGACCGGUCACAUUGGGACUGAGAUACGGCCCAGACUCCUACGGGAGGCAGCAGUGGGGAAUAUUGCACAAUGGGCGCAAGCCUGAUGCAGCGACGCCGCGUGAGGGAUGGAGGCCUUCGGGUUGUGAACCUCUUUCGCUCAUGGUCAAGCCGCAACUCAUGGUUGUGGUGAGGGUAGUGGGUAAAGAAGCGCCGGCUAACUACGUGCCAGCAGCCGCGGUAAUACGUAGGGCGCGAGCGUUGUCCGGAAUUAUUGGGCGUAAAGGGCUUGUAGGCGGUUGGUCGCGUCUGCCGUGAAAUCCUCUGGCUUAACUGGGGGCGUGCGGUGGGUACGGGCUGGCUUGAGUGCGGUAGGGGAGACUGGAACUCCUGGUGUAGCGGUGGAAUGCGCAGAUAUCAGGAAGAACACCGGUGGCGAAGGCGGGUCUCUGGGCCGUUACUGACGCUGAGGAGCNANNGCGUGGGGAGCGAACAGG